UACGGGGGGGCAAGCGUUGUUCGGAAUUACUGGCGUAAAGGGCUCGUAGGCGGCCAACUAAGUCAGACGUGAAAUCCCCAGGCUCAACCUGGGAACUGCGUCUGAUACUGGUUGGCUUGAAUCCGGGAGAGGGAUGCAGAAUUCCAGGUGUAGCGGUGAAAUGCGUAGAUAUCUGGAGGAAUACCGGUGGCGAAGGCGGCAGUCCUGGACCGGCAUGACGCUGAGGAGCGAAAGCUAGGGAGCAACGGGG
rnacentral:rRNA from 1 species